rnacentral:sRNA from 1 species
CCCAGGGGAAGAGGUGAAAUUCCUCAGCUCUCCACCAAGAUUGGCCACAAAAGCCUGAUCCCCUGGAACACAGCAGGCCUCACCUAGAGGGUCAGCCAUUGGAUCAUAGGAACUGCCCUGGCUUGACUCACCCAAUAUGGAGGAGGUGCCUGGGGAUGCCCCGUGUGAACACUUUGAGGCCAACAUGCUUACCCAGAACCGCUGUCAAAACUGCUUCCACCCUGAAGAGGCCCAUGGAGCAAGAUACCAGGAGCUCAGGAGCCCUUCAGGUGCUGAGGUGCCCUACUGCGACCUGCCUCGAUGCCCGCCUGCCCCUGAGGACCCACUCAGCGCCUCAACCUCCGGCUGCCAGUCUGUGGCGGACCCGGGCCUCAGGCCAGAGCCCAAGAGGACUGGGACACUGUUGAGAGGCAGGAGGAGGCCCCCAGCUGGGACGAGCUCGCAGUGAUGAUCCUGAGGAGGCCUCGGGAGAGGCCAAGAGCUGACAGCUCCCAAAGGGCUCCGUCUCUCCUCACCAGGUCCCCUGUGGGAGGAGAUGCUGCAGGCCAGAAAAAGGAGGACACCGGUGGUGGGGGCUGGAGCGCAGGACAGCACUGGGCAAGGCUCCGGGGAGAAAGCAAGUUCUCCCUGGAGCGGCACCGGUCAACACUGACCCAGGCUUCCUCCAUGACACCACACAGCGGACCUCGAAGCACCACGUUUCAGGCUUCUCCUGCCCAAAGGGACACUGCUCAGGCUGCCUCUACACGUGAAACCCCCAGAGCCUCCUCUCCCCACCGAAUCACCCAAAGGGACACCUCCAGGGCCUCAUCCACCCAAGAGGACACCCCCAGGGCCUCAUCUACACAGUGGAACACCCCCAGAGCUUCCUCUCCCUCACGAAGCACCCAACAGGAUAACCCCAGAACCUCUUCUACCCAGCAGGACAACCCCCAAACUUCUUUUCCUACUUGUACUCCCCAACGGGAAAACCCCAGGACACCCUGUGUCCAGCAGGACGAUCCCAGAGCCUCCUCUCCCAACAGAACCACUCAACGAGAGAAUUCCAGACCAUCCUGUGCCCAGCGGGACAAUCCCAGAGCCUCCAGAACCUCCUCUCCCAAUAGAGCCACACAAGACAGCCCCAGAACAUCCUGUGCCCAGCAGGACAAUCCCAGAGCCUCCUCUCCUAACAGAACCACCCAACAAGAGAACCCCAGAACAUCCUGUGCCCGACGGGACAAUCCCAGAGCCUCCUCUCCCAACAGAACCACCCAACAAGACAGCCCAGAACAUCCUAUGCCCGACGGGACAAUCCCAGAGCCUCCUCUCCCAACAGAACCACCCAACGAGGCAGCCCCAGAACAUCCUGUGCCCGAUGGGACAAUCCCAGAGCCUCCUCUCCCAACAGAGCCACCCAACAGGACAACCCCAGAACAUCCUGUGCCCGACGGGACAAUCCCAGAGCCUCCUCUCCCAACAGAACCACCCAACGAGGCAGCCCCAGAACAUCCUGUGCCCGAUGGGACAAUCCCAGAGCCUCCUCUCCCAACAGAACCAUCCAACAGGACAACCCCAGAACAUCCUGUGCCCGACGGGACAAUCCCAGAGCCUCCUCUCCCAACAGAACCACUCAACGAGACAGCCCCAGAACAUCCUGUGCCAGACGGGACAAUCCCAGAGCCUCCUCUCCUAACAGAACCACCCAACAAGAGAACCCCAGAACAUCCUGUGCCCGACGGGACAAUCCCAAAGCCUCCUCUCCCAUCAGAGCCACCCAACAGGACAACCCCAGAACAUCCUGUGCCCAGCGGGACAAUCCCAGAGCCUCCUCUCCCAUCAGAGCCACCCAACAGGACAACCCCAGAACUUGUAUUCAACAGAACAUCCCCAGAUCAUCUUCUACCCAACAAGACAACCCUAAAAUCUCUUGUACCAAACGGGAUAACCUCAGACGCACUAGUACACAGCGGGACCGCACACAGUCCUUUUCCUUUCAACGAGACAACCCUGGAACCUCCUCAUCUCAAUGCUGCACCCAAAAGGAGAAUCUGAGACCAUCAUCUCCCCACCGCUCCACUCAAUGGAACAAUCCCAGGAAUUCAUCUCCCCAUCGUACUAACAAAGACAUCCCCUGGGCCUCGUUUCCCCUCCGGCCAACUCAGAGUGAUGGUCCCCGAACCUCUUCCCCAUCUCGCUCCAAGCAAAGUGAGGUUCCCUGGGCAUCCAUUGCCCUCCGGCCAACCCAAGGUGACAGGCCUCAGACAUCCUCUCCCAGCAGGCCAGCCCAGCAUGACCCACCCCAGUCCUCCUUUGGCCCCACCCAGUACAACUUGCCAUCCCGGGCCACCUCUUCCCCCCAUAACCCAGGCCACCAGAGCACCUCCCGGACUUCCUCACCUGUGUACCCCGCUGCCUAUGGGGCUCCCCUGACCUCUCCUGAGCCCUCCCAGCCUCCAUGUGCUGUGUGCAUUGGGCACCGGGAUGCCCCUCGAGCCUCUUCGCCCCCUCGCUAUUUGCAGCACGACCCCUUCCCCUUCUUCCCAGAGCCCCGCGCCCCUGAGAGAGAAUUGCCCCAGCACGAGCCUCCCUAUAUACCACCUGCUGUGUGCAUUGGACACCGAGAUGCCCCCCGGCGUCCUCGCCCCCCCGCCACACCCAAUUUGACCCCUUCCCUUCCUCCCAGACACAUCAGAUGCCGAGCAUCAGUGUCAGUCCCCCCAACACGAGCCCCUUCAUCUCCCUGCACCUGUGUGUAUUGGGUACCGAGACGCACCCCGGGCCUCCUCCCCACCACGCCAGGCCCCAGAGCCUUCCCUCUUAUUCCAGGACCUCCCCAGGGCCAGCACAGAGAGCCUUGUCCCUUCCAUGGACUCUCUGCACGAGUGCCCCCACAUCCCCACCCCUGUGUGCAUUGGGCACCGGGAUGCACCCUCCUUCUCAUCCCCACCACGCCAGGCUCCUGAGCCAUCCCUCUUCUUCCAGGACCCCCCUGGAACUAGUAUGGAGAGCCUGGCCCCCUCCACUGACUCUCUGCAUGGCUCCCCAUUGCUGAUCCCCCAAGUGUGCAUCGGGCACCGGGAUGCACCCCGAGCCUCCUCCCCACCCCGCCACCCACCCAGUGACCUAGCGUUUCUGGCACCCUCACCUUCGCCGGGCAGCUCCGGGGGCUCCCGGGGCUCAGCGCCUCCCGGGGAGACCAGGCACAACUUGGAGCGGGAGGAGUACACUGUGCUGGCUGACCUGCCCCCACCCAGGAGGCUGGCCCAGAGACAGCCAGGGCCCCAGGCGCAGUGCAGCAGCGGGGGCCGCACCCGCAGCCCUGGCCGCGCAGAGGUGGAGCGCCUCUUCGGGCAAGAGCGCAGGUGAGCCCGGGGGGGGGGUCAGCCAGGUGGGCUGGGGAGGAGGCUCGGCAGCAGGACAGGUGAAGGG